CCUUGUAGUGGGGGAUAACCUGGGGAAACUCGGGCUAAUACCGUAUAAUCUCUUUGGAGCAAAGCGGGGGAUCUUCGGACCUCGUGCUAUAAGAUGAGCCUACGUCGGAUUAGCUUGUUGGUGGGGUAAUGGCCUACCAAGGCGACGAUCCGUAGCUGGUCUGAGAGGACGAUCAGCCACACUGGGACUGAGACACGGCCCAGACUCCUACGGGAGGCAGCAGUGGGGAAUAUUGGACAAUGGGGGAAACCCUGAUCCAGCAAUGCCGCGUGUGUGAAGAAGGCCUUCGGGUUGUAAAGCACUUUCGGUGGGGAAGAAAUUCUCAAGGGUAAUAUCCUUGGGCGUUGACGUUACCCACAGAAGAAGCACUGGCUAACUCUGUGCCAGCAGCCGCGGUAAUACAGAGAGUGCAAGCGUUAAUCGGAAUCACUGGGCGUAAAGCGCGCGUAGGUGGAUAUUUAAGUCGGAUGUGAAAGCCCUGGGCUUAACCUGGGAAUUGCACCCGAUACUGGGUAUCUUGAGUAUGGUAGAGGGAAGUGGAAUUUCCGGUGUAGCGGUGAAAUGCGUAGAUAUCGGAAAGAACACCAGUGGCGAAGGCGACUUCCUGGACCAAUACUGACACUGAGGCGCGAAAGCGUGGGGAGCAAACAGGAUAGAGA
rnacentral:rRNA from 1 species